CACAUGCCCCUGUGAAGCAAUGGCAAUCAUUUUCACCAAACAAACAUACCUCCUUUACUUUCUCUCUCAUCUUCCAAACCUAGACUUUUUGUAGAGAGAGAAAGAGAUAGAGAUUGAGAGAGAGACAUGGAUUGUGUUAAAACUCAAAUUCUGCCCAGUUACAGUGGUGUUUAGAGACAGAGAGAGAGAGAUGGAUUGUGUUAAAACUCAAAUUCUGCCCAUUUACAGUGGUGUUUAGAGAGAGAGAGAGAGAAACUGUUAACCCUCAUUUCAAGUGGUGGAAGUUGGAGCUCCAUUUGAGAGAGAGAGAGUCUGUUAUCACUUAUUUUCAAGUGUUGGAAGUUGCAGUUCCAUCUUGAGAGAGAGAGAGCACAUACUAGAGCUGUAUAAGUGUUAGGAGAGUUCUAGAGCCAUUUCAGGUCCCCAUAGGAUAAGGUUUGAUGUGGGUUAGUCCGAGUGAUCAUUCAAAUCGCCGGAAUUCACCACCGUAGGGGCUUUCGACAUCGGAUUAUGGGAAUAGGCCACCGGUUUUUGGACCGGGGCCGCCUACUUUGAUCACCUGGCGUCACAAAAGAAGUGCUCCUCUUCUUUCAUAUGCUCUUGCUAUGCUCCUUCAAGGGCCCAUAGCAACAACAACAACAUCAUCAACAAUAAUAAUAAGAAUGGGGUCAUUUGUGAACCCACAUCAAAUGAUCAGAACACUGAGGGAGGUGGUGCUAAUGUUGUUGAUGGUGAGGUGCAAGAGCAAAAGGCUUGUAUGGAGCCCCCUCUCAAGAGUAACUUGAAGAGAGAGAAGGUGGUUAUGGGAGGAGAAGCACAUGGGAAGAGGAAGGUGAACUGGCCUGAUGCUCAUGGAAAGGAUCUCACCCAUGUCCAAGAGUUUGAUUCAGGAGUGUGGGAAGAUGGAGAAUUUGGUGGAGUGAGGAACUCUUGCAUUUGUGUGAUUCAAUGAAUUCAUCAUCACAAUGGAUGUCAAAUGGACAGAGUGAGCUUCAUGAGGUUUUUGAGAGAAACCUUCCAAAUUCAUGUUUCCAUUUUAUUUUAUUUUAUUUCUUGACUUAUGGAACCAUGUUCUUCUCUUGAGAGAACAAGAGGAAUUUUGGCCUUCGGUAAACUUUUACCAUGAAAAUAGAAAGAGAAAAAGGGGGAAAACUUGGAAAUU